AGUUUUAUUCUUGCUUAGAAAUUUGCUUAUUGAAUAAUUUACAUGAAAAUUUUUGUGAGAAAUAUUGUAAAUCUAAAAGAUUAGUUAUUUAGUCUCAGUAUUUAAUAUUAGUGAAUCAAGGGAAUUUGGAACUAGUAAUUUAUUUUGAAAUCGGCUAAAUUUGUGCCAGCCGCCGCGGUUAGACUUAGGAUUUAAGUAAAUGUUAUUAGUAUUAAAGUUAAUUAUUUAGAUAUAAAACAUAUAAAUUUUUUUAGAAGGUGGAAUUUAGAAAAAAUAUAAUGGUUUUUAAUUAUAAUGAAGCUUUGAAAUUUAAAUUAUAAACUAGGAUUAGAUACCCUAUUAUUUUAAAUGUAAAAUAUGAAUACUUGGGUAGUAGUAGUUAAGAUCUUGAAACUCAAAGAAUUUGGCGGUGUUUUAGUCUUUUCAGAGGAAUCUGUCCUGUGAUUGAUAAUACACAUUAUAUGUAACUUAAUUUUGUAAAUCAGUUUGUAUACCUCCGUCAUAAGAUUAUCUUUUUAGAGAUUUAAUUUUCAUAAUUUUUAAUAAGAAAAGAUGUCAGGUCAAGGUGCAGCUUAUAAUUAAGUAAGAGAUGGAUUACAAUAAGAUUAUUUAUAUGGAUAUUAUAUUGAAAUAUAUAAUUGAAGGUGGAUUUGAAAGUAAUAUUAUUAUAUUAUGAUAAUAUGAUUAUUUAAGCUCUAGAACAUGUACACAUCGCCCGUCACUCUCAUUAAUAAGAUGAGAUAAGUCGUAACAAAGUAGAUGUACUGGAAAGUGUAUCUAGAAUGU
rnacentral:ncRNA from 1 species